GGAGAGGAUUGUAAAAAGUGAGGUCAGAGGGAAAUUAAAUGAAAGUGCAGACAGUGAUAAUUAGCUGCUGUUGCAAAGCCUUUUUCUGGGUGAGGCUAAUCAUUUUAGACACCUCUUGGCAACCUUCCUUAUGUACUUUUAACCUCUUAAGGUGCGGUCCAAAGUCCACCUGUUUUCCUCCCUUUGCAAACAGCUUGAGCAAUGGAAGUGCCGCCCCUUCUCCUCCUCUACUUCAUGGCUGCAGCUGCCUUGGAAGUGAAGAUUAAUCCUUCCCCGAUCGUAGGCCUGCUAUACAAGCCUGUUGUGCUUCAUUGUAACUUUACAGUUUGGGAGAGUGUCCGAAAAGAAGACGUAGCUGUGAAAUGGGCUGUGAAGACUGUAUCUGGAGAAGAGAGGACAGUGUUUCAGUUUGAUGGAAACCACACAAUAUGUUACCGAGAUGGGCCCCUAGUGAAUACUGAGUUACUCUCCUAUGGCAUUGCAUCCCUCACCUUGUCCAAUGUGACAUUAAGGGAUGAAGGGAUUUACACAUGCACUGUUUUAGUAACUCCGCGGUAUGGGAACGGAAAGAUCCAGCUUAAAGUCAGAGCACCAAAAUCCUAUCACCGGGACACCGGAUUUAUAAUCGGGGUGGCCACCGCUUGCAUCGUGGUGACAGGCUCAUGCAGCAUAUUUAUCACCAUCUUUUAUCAAGAGCGACUUGCAAAAGCGGAGCCUCAGGUCUCCUCAAUCAUCAAGCCUGACCUGAUUCUGAUUAAUGAAAAUAUCAGACUGAUGUGCAAUAUAAAUGGAUUCAGACCCAAAACAAUCCAGGUGAAAUGGUAUCAGAGAAACCCACACAAGAUGAUGUCAGUAGCAGACCAUGCAAGGGAAGAUGCAGUCCUUUCCGAGGCUAGAGAAGAUGUUACCAAUAUGGCAAAACAGCCCUUGGAAGCCAGUGGCAGAUUUUAUAGCAUCUCCUCCUGCCUGAGCUACACGCCUACAAUAAGGGACGACAGGGCAGAAUUUGAAUGCAGCAUCCAGCACUGCACAUUAAAGAAUCCAAUUUGGAGGACCACAAUUGUUCAUGUUUCUGCUCGCCCAGCAAGUCAUUACAUCUUCAGCUCCCCUCAGGUUCCUGUGCCAGGAAAGAAGCUCAUUCUGAUCUGUGUCGUAGAGAAAUUUUACCCAAAGGACAUUGCUUUGGUUUGGUUUCGAAAUGGACAACCAAUUGAAGAACUGACACAGUUUGGGCCUUUCCCUUGUGAAAGUGAUUUUUACAGUGUGUGGAGCCAGAUCGAGUUUGUCUUGACCAAAGAUGAGGAAGGAGUGAUUUAUACCUGUCAGAUCAAGCACAGCAGCUUUGGAAACGUUGAAGAACUCUCCUAUGAAAUAAAUUUGCAAGGGACCCCUCCAGAAGUCCUCUGGAUCACUGCAAACCCUUCAGUUCCUGUGGCAGGAGAGGAGCUGAGGCUCAACUGCAGAAUCAAUAACUUCUCUCCUAACCUGAUUGAUGUGAAUUGGUUCCAAGACGGAAAUCCACUACACGUGGGAAUCUGCCACUCAGUCUCUGUAGUUGGCACCAAUGGUUUGCAUUCUAUGUGGAGCCUUCUUAGAGUUACCCCUACACAAGGGAUGGGGAAGACCAUGUUUACAUGCAGAGUGGACCAUGGAGCCUUGAGAGAGUGUGUAGAAAGAUCGUACACUUUGCAGAUGCCUGGAAGGCUGAACAAUGUUCAUGAAUAAGCAAUGAAAAUUGAGAAGAUGCAAACCAAGUUGAGAUUUGCAUAGAAGCAACAAAUGAACUGAAUUUCAAGGACCAGUCAGGAAGACAGGAGAAACAGGAAACAUGUACUGCCUGCAACCACUAGAUGUCGCUUUUCACCUCCUCCAACUGGUGGAGUGGAAGUUCUAAAUUCCUCUUCAUAUUUUGGCCAGAAAAUUCUAAGAGCUGAGUUAUAUUUCACCUUUAAAACUUGGGUUAAAAAGGUAUUUGGGAACUGUAAAAUACAUGGGCAGCAUCCAUCGUGAACUGCACUUGUGUGUUUCAGUUGCUGGGUUUCCCUACAAUAAACAUGAAUAAA